rnacentral:rRNA from 1 species
UGGGUAACCUGCCUCAAAGAGGGGAAUAGCCUCCCGAAAGGGAGAUUAAUACCGCAUAAUAUGUUUUAGUCGCAUGACUUAAACAUCAAAGGAUUUUCUUUUAGAAAUUCCACUUUGAGAUGGACCCGCGGCGCAUUAGCUAGUUGGUGAGGUAACGGCUCACCAAGGCGACGACGGGUAGCUGGUCUGAGAGGAUGGCCAGCCACAUUGGGACUGAGACACGGCCCAGACUCCUAGGGAGG